GCCUUCGUCUGCAGUAUACCAGAAAACCUGAUAUUUGUUAACUGCAGAAUGAUGAUGGAUUUAUGAGGACAACACAAACAUCCAGUCAUCUCGUGGCAGGUGAAAAUCCGUGACCCCACUGGCAAUUCAACCCGAGAGCCCAUGCUCUGGAAGUGAGGACUGAUUAGAGGAGAUAGAGAAGAUCCAAUGAAGAGUGUUUCAUCAUGGGAGCAUUACGGAGAUACCAAAUAAACUCUACAUUAUAAGCGAGGUUACAAGCUUGAGGGGAUGGCCCAGUUACCUCCAAAAUCUUUCAAAAUUGGGGUAAAUGGACAAGGUUCUUGAGGUAUCCGGCCCCUCCUCGAACCUGUUUACUCCAGGUCAUGGUGAGAACAAACAUUGGACAAACGUAGAAGUGAGCUGUUGAGCUAUCAUAAACAGGAUUUAGGAAUAGCCAUUGGAGAUGUUAGGAGUGGAAAUAGGAGAGCAGCUACAUUCUAGAAAAUUUCUAGGCCUACAUUAAAACACCAUAUUCUCAGUACAUGUGGUGAAGGAAUCAUUAAAACACCAUAUUCUCAGUACAUGUGGUGAAGGAAUCACUUCAAGAGACAGUAAGAGCAGUGGUAACAUUGAAUCAUUCAUGUCUGCUGGUGAAGAAGAAUUGAUAGUGAACUGUUUGAAAGAAUAAUAAUAAUAAUAAUAAUAAUAAUAAUAAAGACAGAGGAUGAGAUGGUCAGAUGAAGUUAACCGACACCUCAUGUUCUGUUAUUACCAAGCAACAAACUUAGGAACGAACACAACUGGAUAUAGAU